CACGUAGGGACCAAGCGUUGUCCGGAUCUAUUGGGCGUAAAGAGCACGUAGGCGGUUCCGUAAGUCGGGUGUGAAAACUCUGGGCUUAACCCAGAGCCUGCAUCUGAUACUGCGGCGACUAGAGUCCGGUAGGGGAGUGGGGAAUUCCUAGUGUAGCGGUGAAAUGCGCAGAUAUUUGGAGGAACACCGGUGGCGAAGGCGCCACUCUGGGCCGGUACUGACGCUGAGGAGCGAAAGCGUGGGUAGCAAACAGG
rnacentral:rRNA from 1 species